UACGAAGGGGGCUAGCGUUGCUCGGAAUCACUGGGCGUAAAGGGUGCGUAGGCGGGCCUUUAAGGCAGGGGUGAAAUCCUGGAGCUCAACUCCAGAACUGCCUUUGAUACUGAAGAUCUUGAGUUCGGGAGAGGUGAGUGGAACUGCGAGUGUAGAGGUGAAAUUCGUAGAUAUUCGCAAGAACACCAGUGGCGAAGGCGGCUCACUGGCCCGAUACUGACGCUGAGGCACGAAAGCGUGGGGAGCAAACAGG
rnacentral:rRNA from 1 species